GUGAGAAACAUGCCUGACCACACACGAAACUGGAGAAGGCAAACAGUGGGUGCAGAUGACCCGACCUGACUGUUCUUCUGAUUUUAAUUCCAGGCACUUCCCUCUUGGCCAGGUGAGAUGCUGUGAUCCAGAAGGUCUCUCCCACAGGGCAUUCUUAGGGCUCAGUGAAAGGAUACCCCCGCAACAGGACAGGUCUUCCUUUCCCAUGUGGGCUCUUUAUCCAGAACCCAGAGCUGCAGAGAGUCUGGCUUCUGGGACCCUUGACUGGGGAGAAAGCAGGUGGGGGCCACGGAGGGAAGGCUCCAGAGCAGAGAAGCACCAGGCUGGCUGAGCCUGGGCAGCUGCCCUUUGCCUUAGCUCAGUGGUUCUCAAAGCCUGGCCCCCAGGCCAGCAGCACCAACAUCACUUGAGGCCACUCAGCCAGAAACUCUGCAGUGGGGCCUCGCAAUCUGUUUUAACAAACCUUCCAGGUGACUCUGGUGCAGAAUGGUGGCAAGAACUCAAACCUGGACUAGGCCUGCUGGGCUCCGAGACGCUAAACAAGCAGCCCAAGGUCACACCGCAGAGUGAGGGCAGCAGAGCCUCUGCGCGUGCCUCCUCCCUUCGGACCCUGCCGCGUUCCCAGAGGCUGGACUCAGCAAGCUGGAACAGGAAUCGAACCCUCAGGCCCUCGUCGCCGUCCCAGCCCUCGAGGAAUCUGCGCCCCAGGCGAAGCUGUCCACGGAGCAGCCGCCCCGCCCCCGCGGAGAGGUCCCGG
rnacentral:lncRNA from 1 species